rnacentral:sRNA from 1 species
GGAACAGAUGAUGAAUUCCCGAUAGUACGAUUGAUGAGCUAAACUCCCAUGGACUGAU